rnacentral:rRNA from 1 species
UGGGGAAUAUUGCACAAUGGGCGAAAGCCUGAUGCAGCAACGCCGCGUGAGUGAUGAAGGCCUUCGGGUUGUAAAGCUCUGUCUUUUGGGACGAUAAUGACGGUACCAAAGGAGGAAGCCACGGCUAACUACGUGCCAGCAGCCGCGGUAAUACGUAGGUGGCAAGCGUUGUCCGGAUUUACUGGGCGUAAAGGAUGCGUAGGCGGAUUUUUAAGUGAGAUGUGAAAACCCUAGCUUAACUUGGGGACUGCAUUUCAUACUGGAAAUCUAGAGUGCGGGAGAGGAGAAUGGAAUUCCUAGUGUAGCGGUGAAAUGCGUAGAGAUUAGGAAGAACACCAGUGGCGAAGGCGAUUCUCUGGACCGUAACUGACGCUGAGGCAUGAAAGCGUGGGUAGCAAACAGGAUUAGAUACCCUGGUAGUCCACGCCGUAAACGAUGAGUACUAGGUGUAGGAGGUAUCGACCCCUUCUGUGCCGCAGUUAACACAAUAAGUACUCCGCCUGGGAAGUACGAUCGCAAGAUUAAAACUUAAA